rnacentral:rRNA from 1 species
AUGAGAGCCACAACGACGCCUUCAGGAACGAGCUUCGCUACCGCCAGUCCGUCCAAACAUAGAUCAGGUUUUCACCUGGCCAACACUCACCACCACCGAAAGCCACACCCUAGCGACCAUGCCGCCCACACGGCCAUGGCCACCGGGCAGCACCGAGCCACGGGCUGCCCAGGAGCACCGCGGAACCACCACCAGGGCAGCCGCCCCGGCAUCCAAAACCUUGACACCACCUCACUCGAGACCCACCGCUACCCAACCAAAGAUACGAGCGGAAAGGACUCGCCUUUCGCACCCCUUGCCGGCCCCAGCGAUGAAACCCAAUAG